GGGGAAUAUUGCACAAUGGGGGGAACCCUGAUGCAGCAACGCCGCGUGAAGGAAGACGGUUUUCGGAUUGUAAACUUCUAUCAAUAGGGAAGAAAGAAAUGACGGUACCUAAUAAGAAGCCCCGGCUAACUAC
rnacentral:rRNA from 1 species